rnacentral:rRNA from 1 species
CGGAGGGUGCAAGCGUUAUCCGGAUUCACUGGGUUUAAAGGGUGCGUAGGUGGGCUAGUAAGUCAGUGGUGAAAUCCCCGAGCUUUAACUCGGGAACUGCCAUUGAUACUAUUAGUCUCGAAUACCGUGGAGGUCAGCGGAAUAUGUCAUGUAGCGGUGAAAUGCUUAGAUAUGACAUAGAACACCAAUUGCGAAGGCAGCUGGCUACACGAAUAUUGACACUGAGGCACGAAAGCGUGGGGAUCAAACAGGAUUAGAUACCCCGGUAGUCCACGCCCUAAACUAUGGAUACUCGACAUACGCGAUACACAGUGUGUGUCUGAGCGAAAGCAUUAAGUAUCCCACCUGGGAAGUACGAUCGCAAGAUUG